rnacentral:rRNA from 1 species
GAUGAACGCUAGCGAUAGGCUUAACACAUGCAAGUCGAGGGGUAACGUGUUGGAAGCUUGCUUCCGAUGACGACGACCGGCGGAUGGGUGCGUAACGCGUAUGCAACUUGCCUCACAGUGGAGAAUAACCCGGAGAAAUCCGGACUAAUACUCCAUACACUCUUAAGUACGCCUGUACAUGAGAGGAAAGAUUUAUCGCUGUGAGAUAGGCAUGCGUCCUAUUAGGUAGUUGGUGAGGUAACGGCUCACCAAGCCGACGAUAGGUAGGGGUGCUGAGAGGCAGAUCCCCCACAUUGGGACUGAGACACGGCCCAAACUCCUACGGGAGGCAGCAGUGAGGAAUAUUGGUCAAUGGAGGAAACUCUGAACCAGCCAAGUCGCGUGAAGGAAGAAUGUCCUAAGGAUUGUAAACUUCUUUAGCGAGCGAGUAAGGACUUCCACGUGAUGGGAGUUUGAAAGUAGCUCGAGAAUAAGAAUCGGCUAACUCCGUG